AUGAGAGGCCAAAAGUGGGUCCCUUUUUCCCCAAAAAGGAUUUUUGGAGUUCUGGCAAGGAAUAAUGGGAGCUGCAGUUGUUUUUGGCAAAGUUGGCUUUUGAAACACACAGAAAGCGACCCUUUCACGGAGAGACUGCCCUAUUUGAGCAACACAGAAAGCGACCCUUUCACGGAGAGACUGCCCUAUUUGAGCAAUGAGAGGCCAAAAGUGGGUCCCUUUUUCCCCAAAAAGGAUUUUUGGAGUUCUGCCAAGGAAUAAUGGGAGCUGCAGUUGUUUUUGGCAAAGUUGGCUUUUGAAACACACAGAAAGCGACCCUUUUACGGAGAGACUGCCCUAUUUGAGCAAUGAGAGGCCAAAAGUGGGUCCCUUUUUCCCCAAAAAGGAUUUUUGGAGUUCUACCAAGGAAUAAUGGGAGCUGCAGUUGUUUUUGGCAAAGUUGGCUUUUGAAACACUCAGAAAGCGACCCUUUCACGGAGAGACCGCCCUAUUUGAGCAAUGAGAGGCCAAAAUUGGGUCCCUUUUUCCCCAAAAAGGAUUUUUGGAGUUCUACCAAGGAAUAAUGGGAGCUGCAGUUGUUUUUGGCAAAGUUGGCUUUUGAAACACACAGAAAGCGACCCUUUCAUGGAGAGACCGCCCUAUUUGAGCAAUGAGAGGCCAAAAGUGGGUCCCUUUUUUCCCAAAAAGGAGUUUUUGAGUUCUACCAAGCACUAAUGGGAGCUGCAGUUGUUUUUGGCAAAGUUGGCUUUUUAUUCAGAGACCCUGGCACGGAGAAAAACAGCCCUGCAUGAGGCAAGGGCCAAAUCACCAUUGCUGGCCGUGUGGGAAAAUUGCAAACGCCAAUUUCGUGAGGAAAAAAACACCCACAGGCCCUUUGCAAAAAAUUAUAAAACCAACACCCAACACCCAACAGUUUACCCACACCUCCAAAACUCACCCACCCAAAAUUUUCUCCCGGUCUUCAGCCUAGCUCAGCACUAGAAAACAGCCAAGGAGGCUGUGACGCAGCAAAAUUAACUGCCUGCCUGCCUACCCAAACUCCCUCCCACCCUCUUCAGAAGCCCGGUGCGAAUGAGCCACGAGGCUGAGUGCAGCCUCUUUUCAUUCAGGACGUCCUACCAGCCCCUCCCCCUGGUUUAACGUGCUCUCUGAUUGGCCACAAGGUGCCAACAACACGCUAGGUUGCCCCAGUGCUAUUAAACAAGUUUGGGUGAUUUGCAAAAGCAUUUUUUAAAAACGAAAAAAAAGGCGCCAUAACGGAAAACGGCCAAUCGCGGUUCGAAGCCGCGAUAUCCAGGCGUGUGGACAACCAAGGUUCAAUAUUGCUUCAAAACUAACGAAAAUAACGAAUCAAUAACGGUAAACGGGGAAAACGAAUUAUUUGAGCAAGCCUAAUACAUACAUAUAUAUAUAUAUAUAUAUAUAUAUAUGCAAGCAAACAGCGGAAAGAGUCAAUAGAUUCAGUAGUCCAUAAUAUAAUGUCCACAAUAGUUCAAAAAGAUAGUUCUUCAAAGUCUUUCAAAGUUAUAAUCCACAAACAGAACUCAAAGAGUUCCAACGAAGAGUCAAUGUCAGUAAGCAGCCAGGAGUUGCAGGAAUCAGGGACAAGACGCAGCAAAACAACAACUGUAAUCCACCUGGAAGGUAUUCCUUGGAAAGCAGGGAAACCGGAGUAACAAGGCGAGGUCUACCCAUGAGUAACAAGGCACGAACUCCAACUGGGUAUCCUGGAAACAGCACGGGAACAAGGCAAGGAUCAAGAGACAGGAACGGAGAUGCUUCUCCCAAGAAUGGCAAUGUUGACACCGCAAUGUAAACAAGGAGCGAGGUCCCUUUAAGGAAACAUCAAGGCUACCACUCAAUAAGAUCCAGGGCAAUC
ensembl:lncRNA